rnacentral:rRNA from 1 species
AAACGUGGGGGCACCCUGACCGCAAUGCCGCGUGAGUGAAGAAGGCCUUCGGGUUGUAAAGUUCUUUCACCUGUGAAGAUAAUGACGGUAGCAGGAGAAGAAGCCCCGGCUAACCCCGUGCCAGCAGCCGCGGUAAGACGGAGGGGGCUAGCGUUGUUCGGAAUGACUGGGCGUAAAGGGCGCGUAGGCGGUUUUUUAAGUGAGGCGUGAAAGCCCUGGGCUUAACCCAGGAGGUGCGUUUCAUACUGGAAGACUUGAGUACGAGAGAGGAAAGCGGAAUUCCUAGUGUAGAGGUGAAAUUCGUAGAUAUUAGGAAGAACACCGGUGGGGAAGGCGGCUUUCUGGCUCGUAACUGACGCUGAGGCGCGAAA